CCAUAAAAAAUAUAACGAAUUUUUGAAUUUCCAUUGUUCGACCGGUUCAGAGAAGCGAAGCGUCUUCAUAGCCGUUUGUUAGCAUUUUUUACAAAACGCAAGUUAUGUCCAGAUUUAGAUAAGUUUUCAAAUUGUUUUAACUAAUUAUUUGUAUGAAUUUUAAUACAGUUUUAUUAAGCUACAUGUUAUGAACAGUUACUGUAAAAAUGCGCGAAUAUGAUACCGCUAACACUUACUUAAUUACGAGUUAACAAAUGUGUUAAUUUAAAUUCACAUUUAGAUGGACUACCUACUUACUAAAGUAACGUUAAAAAAAUGUGAUGAGAAGGCAGUUUUAAUUUUUUUUUUUGUAAAGGAAUCUUUAAAUUUGUUGUAGGCACCAAUUUUAAGGGCCUGAAUAAUAUAAAGCUUCGUCGCUUACCUAAAUUAAAAUGCGUCGUGCUUGAAGAUUAUUUUACUUCACAAUAGGAUACGGAAGACAUUGAAACCGCGAACAAAACGGAAAUGGCUAUACGUAUAUCUCUAUCAUAGACAAGAAACGUUCAGAAAUUAGAUUGAAUAAUCAUUUUGUUUACCAAAAAAUUGAAUUUGUUGAAUAUAAAAAUAUACCUAGGUAUUAUUUAUAAACACACAGGAAGUGGUGAAGAGUGGGCUUUUAGAGGCCUGCCUUUUCUAAAUUUCUGACGUAAAAAGCUGUGUUGCAACCAAGUUUGAAUAAACGAUUUUUGAAAUCGG